rnacentral:lncRNA from 1 species
UUGUGUAAUUUCAUUCUUUAGUUUCUAAUUUCGAAGUUGAUGAUGAACAUGCUUAGGAAUUUGGCAAAUUAGGGUUGUGAGAUUCUUUGGAUGGAUUGUUGAAUUAGGAACUGUUUUGGGCCGAUUAAGUUGUUUGAAUUUGGUUUGCAUGGUAGUAAUUAGCAUUUGAGUGGAGAUUAGGGCUGAUUUGGUGAAGAUUUUUGAAAACCCCCUCGCACCGUUGGGUGGUAAGCCUAUGCCGCCGGGCGAUAUUCAAGCUGAUGCAUACCGCCGGGGCGGUCCUUUUCUACACUGGGCGGUCUGCUGCGUUUUUGGUUGAAUGUUUUGUUAGAGGAAAGGGGGAACCUGUGCACUCCCAGUAGUUAAUUAUGUUGGGUUCGAAAGUGUUUGUUGAUGCAUUAACGCCUAACAUAAUAGAUUUCUAUGGUUUGUGGCAAAUUGUAUUUAUUGCAAGAAUGGCGUCAGCAUCACGCAGAGGAAGGAAUACUGGUAGUAAAAGGAAGGAGCCAGAAAGCUCUAGAGGAUUUGACUCU